UGACACAAUGGUGUGUGACACAGACGUGUGGAUGAAACAAAGGUGUGUCAUUGAAUUCCUCCAUGCAGAAACAAUUGCACCCACUAACAUUCAUCAAAGCUUACUGAAUGUUUAUGGAGAUCAAACAGUAGAUGAAAGCACAGUGAGGCAGUGGGUGGUGCAUUUCAGCAGUGGUGACAGAGACAUGAAAGUCAAGCCACGUUCUGGACAGCUAUUCACAGCUGUCACACCAAAAAAUGAAGAGCAUGGCAACACUGGUAUAUUGCAAAGUAUGCAUCAGGUGGGUCCCACAGAUGCUCACAUGGAAACAGAAGGGACACUACAUGUGAGUUUGUCACAAUGUAUUGAAACAGUAUGAGACUGAAAGUGACAGUGUCCUGGAUCAUUAUUGCAUCACUAUCGGCUACAAGACAUCUCCACUAUGAGCCCAAGACAAAUUGAGCCCUUGGAGUGGCAGUACGUGAAUUCCCCUUGAACAAAAAUUUCAAGAGGCAGCUCUCAGUGGUAAAGUGAUGUGUGCUGUCUUUUGGGAUAGGAAAGAGCUCAUAAACAACUUUAACAAAAAAAAGAACCAUGGAAUCAAAACAACAUAUUCCUGGUAAGGUAUGUUCAUUUACGCAACAGGCUGUUCCAACAGAGCUUUUAACAAGAUAGAUGAAAUUGGCUCCCUGGAUCUUAAAAUCAGUUAAUUAGAAAGAAAUUGCAUUUUUCAUUUUUGAGGAGUGUG